UACGUAGGGGGCAAGCGUUGUCCGGAUUUAUUGGGCGUAAAGAGCGUGUAGGCGGCCAUGUAGGUCCGUUGUGAAAACUCGAGGCUCAACCUCGAGACGCCGAUGGAAACCAUGUGGCUAGAGUCCGGAAGAGGAGAGUGGAAUUCCUGGUGUAGCGGUGAAAUGCGCAGAUAUCAGGAGGAACACCAAUGGCGAAGGCAGCCCCCUGGGCUAACACUGACGCUCAGGCACGAAAGCCAGGGGAGCGAACGGG
rnacentral:rRNA from 1 species